AGCUGUUAAUAUUAUUGAGUAAUUUGUUUAUGUGACUUGUUAUAUCCUAUAAAAUCCAGGAACAGGAUAUUGAAAAAAAGUGUGCUAAUUAAACCAGUAGUUGCAUUCAAAUGGACAUAAAACAUAAAAGAGGAAUAUCUUCAUCGAAAAAAUUAUAACUUUUGCCUAAAAAAAUUCAUAUUAAUGUUUAAUAACCUGGUAAUAUUUAUGAAUGACAUUGAAUAUACAGCAUUGUUGAAUUUUAAAUCUGUAUUGAUUUUUUUUUCUUAAUUAUCAAUAUGAGUAUUUGUUAUAGAGUAAAAAUAUAUGCUUCAUGAACAUUUUUAUGUUGCAAAUUCAACACCUCGAUUUUAUUUUUAAGUUGAGCAAUGUUUUAAUUUAGAGCUUCACAGUAAUCCAUAGGCAGUUAGCUUUACUACAAUCCUAGUGAUAAUAAUUUAUUCCUCUACAUUUGGUGUUCUUAGGUCAAUAUUUUGUUUGCUAGCAAUUACUUGAUUGAGAAACAGACAAUUCUAAACCACUUAUAACACUACAAUUAUGACAAAGAAUAAGUUUAUGUUUUCAACAUAACAUUAUAUGUUAAAGGAAUAUUGUCUUCGAGAAUGAUUUUAAUGAACAUUCUAAAACACUGAAUGUUGUUCAGAAAAGCAUAAAAACAUGAUCAUAUAAUCCCAAUCAUAACUUAUGUAUCUGAUGCUAGUAAGAAUAAUAAGAUAGUAAACAUAUUUUUGAAUGCUCAUGAUCUUCUUCUUGAAGUGCCAUAAAAACUCUAUUCUAAAAGAUAUAAACCAUAUCUAAGCCAUUAAAAAACAAGAAAGAACAAUGAACUUAUAAUCAGUUUGACUAUAUCAUAUCAUUUUCUAUAGAAUGAAACAGAAACUAUAUGAGAGGGCAUUUUGUAUUGUAGAGUUUGAGUGAUAUAUGUAUUUGAAUCUCAGAAAAUAAAAUUUAUAAAGAAAGCAGUGC
rnacentral:lncRNA from 1 species